rnacentral:rRNA from 1 species
UACGUAGGGGGCAAGCGUUAUCCGGAUUUACUGGGUGUAAAGGGAGCGUAGACGGCAGAGCAAGUCUGAAGUGAAAGCCCGCGGCCCAACUGCGGGACUGCUUUGGAAACUGCCCGGCUAGAGUGCUGGAGAGGUAAGCGGAAUUCCUAGUGUAGCGGUGAAAUGCGUAGACAUUAGGAGGAACACCAGUGGCGAAGGCGGCUUACUGGACAGUAACUGACGUUGAGGCUCGAAAGCGUGGGGAGCAAACAGG